GGAGUUUCUUCCUGAAUGAAAAAGACAGAACUUUGGGAGGAGAAAGCUUUUGGGCCUGGUCAAGUCCUGCUUGAGACACGACGUCUGGAAUCACAACAGUCAUCUUGGGACGGUAAGAGGCCAAGGGGACUAGAGAUGCCAGGCCUGAAAGAGCCAAAAGCAUUUUGAACUGAUGAAUCUGUGGAACCUGAGCGUUCCCUUUCACCAGUGUAAGUUCUUAGGAACAUAGCAGCAUGGACUUCGGAAGCCGUCUUUCUUGCCAGGUGCGCAGAGCCUGCCUGGGAAUGAAGCCACCACACACCACAGGGGAAAGCAGAACCAAGCAAAUCUGACACUACACUUGGGCCCCUGGAUCUAGCCAUGCCUGAAGCUGGAACUCCUGAACUAUCCGUUACCUAAGCAAAUAAACUCCUAAUUUUUUGGUCA